UCCGGCUCCCCUCAGUCCAAAUGCCAGUUCCUGUUGACGCAGUGCCAGCACCAUGCCAGAUCAUCAAGGAGGACGCUGACAAGUGCCUUCAAGAAAAGAAAGAUGACUGCAAGGAUCUGAUGGAUGCCUUUCAGGCCUGCAUAAAAACACUGUCUGAGGGAUCCUAGUAAAUGAAGAAACAUGGAUUUAAAAACAAGACGUCUGACGGGACCAUUUGGAAAACCCUUAAAUAACCCAAGGAAAAGAGAUGUUGCCAUACAGCCCUCAGGAGAUUCUACAUAGUUUCUAAACUGAAACUGAAAUCCAUUUUUGCAAAACUUUAAAAACAAAGACUAUUAUUGCAACCACAUUAUUAUUCUGAGCAUAAAACCCAAAGUCAUUGCAUGAAGCAGCACACUCCUUUAACAGUGUAAAGUGUCAUAGAAAUAACACAAUUGUCUACGUUUUUCGGUCAGAAAGAAGCAAACAUGCAUGAGAAAGUGAUUCUAGCUGAAUGCCUAAGAGACUCUGAAGGUUGUAGGUCUCUACUCUCUGAAGGAUCAUAAUGUCGUCGUACUGUUCCACCCACAGUGUCAGUUUGUGUGACCCGAGAACAAAAUGAUUGCAGCUUCAUUCAGUUUAUUCCCAUUAAUAUACUGUAGAUAUUUUAAAUAAUAUUUCAUAUUUAAUAUUUUUCCUCUGUAAAAAACCCCUUACCUAAUAUAUUUGCCUAUUCUAGGGCUUUCCAAAAAAGUUAAAAAAAACAAUCCACUGGACUUGGUUUGAAACGAGUUUAGUUCCUAUAAUCAGCAAGUUUCCUAAGCAAUUUCUAAUACAUUAUGACUCAUUUUUCUAGGGAUUUACUCAUAGCACAGAAUGGAGAUACCAGAAAACUCAAGAUGAAUGAUGUAGCUCCAACAUGUGCAAUGAUACACUUGUUCAAAUUAAGAUAAUGAAUAAUAAACAAAU